AUUGAACGCUGGCGGAAUGCUUUACACAUGCAAGUCGAACGGCAGCACGGACUUCGGUCUGGUGGCGAGUGGCGAACGGGUGAGUAAUACAUCGGAACGUGCCCAGUCGUGGGGGAUAACGUAGCGAAAGCUACGCUAAUACCGCCUACGAUCUAAGGAUGAAAGCGGGGGAUCGCAAGACCUCGCGCGAUUGGAGCGGCCGGUGGCAGAUUAGGUAGUUGGUGGGGUAAAGGCUCACCAAGCCGACGAUCUGUAGCUGGUCUGGGAGGACGACCAGCCACACUGGGACUGAGACACGGCCCAGGCUCCUACGGGAGGCAGCAGUGGGGAAUUUUGGACAAUGGGCGCAAGCCUGAUCCAGCCAUUCCGCGUGCAGGAUGAAGGCCCUCGGGUUGUAAACUGCUUUUGUACGGAACGAAAAGGCUCUGGUUAAUACCCGGGGCUCAUGACGGUACCGUAAGAAUAAGCACCGGCUAACUACGUGCCAGCCGCCGCUGUAAUAC
rnacentral:rRNA from 1 species